AGAAGACUGACCCCUCCGCUUGUCUCUUUUGUAAUCUAACAAUUCCAUCUCUCGAACUCCAGAGACAUGCUAAUAAUUACUUAGACGAUGAAGAGUACGCCUGAGACUUCGAAUUUGCGUGUCAAAUCUCUCUUGCUCCCCCAUUUAAAACAAGAGCUUUGGAAAAAUCAUUUAAAGAGAAUGUUGGAUGGCAAAAGCUAAUAAAAAGAGGUGUCCAUACACUAAAGAAAGACCAAUAUCAGGUUGUAAUCCAUUAUGUAAACCUUGAUUUUUCUCGUUCUGUUUGAAUAAGUAUGUUUCUGUUUCAGUUGUGUUUCAUUGAUCCUGGAAUUGCAAGUGGGGAGGAGCUGGAGAAGCUAAAGACCUUGGACAGCAGAUGGAUGCUUUGCGGGGAUCCUCGUACAUGAUCAUAAGAAAAAGCAUGAUAUGGUCUUAAGCUUUGGAGCAUGAAAAGUCUCGAGUAAACUCCCUCAGAUUCUGCUGUUUGGGUUGCAUCCACCUGCUGGUUUUCACUUUUUGUUUGUUUAUCCACUAAGUUUGCCCACCCGGACCUCAGACCCAUGAGGCCAGGCUGGGCCUAAGCUGAGCUUUUGCCGUGACUGACAGGUUGGACGGGUCGACAAUGUUGGCACCUCUAUUUAGACUGAGUCAUCAGAGAGACCCAUUUACAGUUGGCUAUCAUGAUGGUUGUUACUAACUUACAAUCACUAUGGACAGGAAAGGCAUUGGACUGUAAGUGCCUUGUUGCAUUAUGGUCUUAUGUUGGUUGACCAACCCUUGUUUUCCUUUGAACUGGGCAUGCUGCUUUUUUCAAUGUAUUAUCCUCUUAUUUUUAUUGGUUAUAGGCAUCAAAUUUUCAACUCAUAACUGUGAAUUUUUAAUAUGUUUUUGAUAGCGUGCUUGAUUUCUUGAGAAAAUUUCGCGCUUGUGGAAGUAGAUAAUUUCUUGUUGAGACAAGUGAAG